CAACGGGGAAUCUUCCGCAAUGGGCGAAAGCCUGACGGAGCAACGCCGCGUGAGGGAUGAAGGCCUCUGGGCUGUAAACCUCUUUUAUCAAGGAAGAAGAUCUGACGGUACUUGAUGAAUAAGCCACGGCUAAUUCCGUGCCAGCAGCCGCGGUAAUACGGGAGUGGCAAGCGUUAUCCGGAAUUAUUGGGCGUAAAGCGUCCGCAGGCGGCCCUUCAAGUCUGCUGUUAAGGCGUGGAGCUUAACUCCAUCAUGGCAGUGGAAACUGUUGGGCUUGAGUGUGGUAGGGGCAGGGAAUUCCCGGUGUAGCGGUGAAAUGCGUAGAUAUCGGGAAGAACACCAGUGGCGAAGGCGCUCUGCUGGGCCAUCACUGACGCUCAUGGACGAAAGCCAGGGGAGCGAAAGGGAUUAGAUACCCCUGUAGUCAAU
rnacentral:rRNA from 1 species